rnacentral:rRNA from 1 species
GACGGGCCCGCACAAGCAGCGGAGCGUGUGGUUUAAUUCGAUGCUGCACGAGAACCUUACCAGGGUUUGACAUACAAGUAGUAGGGAAGGAAACUGGACGACCUUCGGGAGCUUGUACAGGUGCUGCAUGGCUGUCGUCAGCUCGUGUCGUGAGAUGUUCGGUUAAGUCCGCUAACGAGCGCAACCCUCGCUGUGUGUUACAAGUGUCACACGGAACUGCCGGUCAUAAACCGGAGGAAGGUGGGGAUGACGUCAAGUCAGCAUGGCCUUUAUAUCCUGGGCUACACACACGCUACAAUGGGAAGGGACAAUAGGUUGCGAAGCCGCGAGGCGGAGCCAAUCCAGCAAAACUUCCCUCAGUUCAGAUUGCAGGCUGCAACUCGCCUGCAUGAAGUUGGAGUUGCUAGUAAACGCAGGUCAGCCAUACUGCGUUGAAUACGUUCCCGGGGCUU